rnacentral:rRNA from 1 species
UGGGGGAUAUUGCACAAUGGGCGAAAGCCUGAUGCAGCGACGCCGCGUGGGGGAUGAAGGCCUUCGGGUUGUAAACUUCUUUUGCUCUGAACAAGGCAUGCCUUUGGGGUGUGUUGAGUGUAGGGGUUGAUUAGCGCCGGCUAACUACGUGCCAGCAGCCGCGGUAAUACGUAGGGCGCGAGCGUUGUCCGGAAUUAUUGGGCGUAAAGGGCUUGUAGGUGGCUGGUUGCGUCUGUCGUGAAAGCUCAUGGCUUAACUGUGGGUUUGCGGUGGGUACGGGCUGGCUUGAGUGCAGUAGGGGAGGCUGGAAUUCCGGGGGUAGCGGUGGAAUGCGCAGAUAUCAGGAGGAAUACAGGUGGCGAAGGCGGGUCUCUGGGCUGUUACUGACGCUGAGGAGCGAAAGCGUGGGGAGCGAACAGG